rnacentral:rRNA from 1 species
AUCUGAUGGAGAGCUUGAUCCUGGCUCAGGACGAACGCUGGCGGCGUGCUUAACACAUGCAAGUCGAGCGAGGCGUCUCUCCUCCGGGAGAGAUAGUCGAGCGGCGGACGGGUGAGUAACACGUGAGCAACCUGCCUGGGGCAUCGGGAUAACUCCGGGAAACCGGGGCUAAUACCGGAUACGCGUCGAUGGGGACAUCCCCGUCGACGGAAAGGUCCUCUGUCGUGAGGCAGAGUGCCGGCCUCAGAUGGGCUCGCGGUCUAUCAGCUGGUUGGUGAGGUAACGGCUCACCAAGGCGACGACGGGUAGCCGGCCUGAGAGGGUGACCGGCCACACUGGGACUGAGACACGGCCCAGACUCCUACGGGAGGCUGCAGUGAGGAAUCUUG